GGGUUGUGAGGUUAAGCGACUAAGCGUACACGGUGGAUGCCCUGGCAGUCAGAGGCGAUGAAGGACGUGCUAAUCUGCGAAAAGCGUCGGUAAGGUGAUAUGAACCGUUAUAACCGGCGAUGUCCGAAUGGGGAAACCCAGUGCAAUUCGUUGCACUAUCGUUAACUGAAUACAUAGGUUAACGAGGCGAACCGGGGGAACUGAAACAUCUAAGUACCCCGAGGAAAAGAAAUCAACCGAGAUUCCCCCAGUAGCGGCGAGCGAACGGGGAGCAGCCCAGAGUCUGAAUCAGCUUGUGUGUUAGUGGAACGGUCUGGAAAGUCCGACGGUACAGGGUGAUAGUCCCGUACACCAAAAUGCACAGGUUGUGAACUCGAAGAGUAGGGCGGGACACGUGGUAUCCUGUCUGAAUAUGGGGGGACCAUCCUCCAAGGCUAAAUACUCCUGACUGACCGAUAGUGAACCAGUACCGUGAGGGAAAGGCGAAAAGAACCCCGGCGAGGGGAGUGAAAAAGAACCUGAAACCGUGUACGUACAAGCAGUGGGAGCACCUUCGGGUGUGACUGCGUACCUUUUGUAUAAUGGGUCAGCGACUUAUAUUCUGUAGCAAGGUUAACCGUAUAGGGGAGCCGCAGGGAAACCGAGUCUUAACUGGGCGUUAAGUUGCAGGGUAUAGACCCGAAACCCGGUGAUCUAGCCAUGGGCAGGUUGAAGGUUGGGUAACACUAACUGGAGGACCGAACCGACUAAUGUUGAAAAAUUAGCGGAUGACUUGUGGCUGGGGGUGAAAGGCCAAUCAAACCGGGAGAUAGCUGGUUCUCCCCGAAAGCUAUUUAGGUAGCGCCUCGUGAACUCAUCUUCGGGGGUAGAGCACUGUUUCGGCUAGGGGGUCAUCCCGACUUACCAACCCGAUGCAAACUACGAAUACCGAAGAAUGUUAUCACGGGAGACACACGGCGGGUGCUAACGUCCGUCGUGAAGAGGGAAACAACCCAGACCGCCAGCUAAGGUCCCAAAGUCAUGGUUAAGUGGGAAACGAUGUGGGAAGGCACAGACAGCCAGGAUGUUGGCUUAGAAGCAGCCAUCAUUUAAAGAAAGCGUAAUAGCUCACUGGUCGAGUCGGCCUGCGCGGAAGAUGUAACGGGGCUAAACCAUGCACCGAAGCUGCGGCAGCGACACUAUGUGUUGUUGGGUAGGGGAGCGUUCUGUAAGCCUGCGAAGGUGUGCUGUGAGGCAUGCUGGAGGUAUCAGAAGUGCGAAUGCUGACAUAAGUAACGAUAAAGCGGGUGAAAAGCCCGCUCGCCGGAAGACCAAGGGUUCCUGUCCAACGUUAAUCGGGGCAGGGUGAGUCGACCCCUAAGGCGAGGCCGAAAGGCGUAGUCGAUGGGAAACAGGUUAAUAUUCCUGUACUUGGUGUUACUGCGAAGGGGGGACGGAGAAGGCUAUGUUAGCCGGGCGACGGUUGUCCCGGUUUAAGCAUGUAGGCUGNNNNNNNNNNNNNNNNNNNNNNNNNNNNNNNNNNNNNNNNNNNNNNNNNNNNNNNNNNNNNNNNNNNNNNNNNNNNNNNNNNNNNNNNNNNNNNNNNNNNUCCAGGCAAAUCCGGAUAAUCAAGGCUGAGGUGUGAUGACGAGGCACUACGGUGCUGAAGUAACAAAUGCCCUGCUUCCAGGAAAAGCCUCUAAGCAUCAGGUAACAUUAAAUCGUACCCCAAACCGACACAGGUGGUCAGGUAGAGAAUACCAAGGCGCUUGAGAGAACUCGGGUGAAGGAACUAGGCAAAAUGGUGCCGUAACUUCGGGAGAAGGCACGCUGGUGUGUAGGUGAAGCCCCUGCGGGUGGAGCUGAGACCAGUCGAAGAUACCAGCUGGCUGCAACUGUUUAUUAAAAACACAGCACUGUGCAAACACGAAAGUGGACGUAUACGGUGUGACGCCUGCCCGGUGCCGGAAGGUUAAUUGAUGGGGUUAUCCGUAAGGAGAAGCUCUUGAUCGAAGCCCCGGUAAACGGCGGCCGUAACUAUAACGGUCCUAAGGUAGCGAAAUUCCUUGUCGGGUAAGUUCCGACCUGCACGAAUGGCGUAAUGAUGGCCAGGCUGUCUCCACCCGAGACUCAGUGAAAUUGAACUCGCUGUGAAGAUGCAGUGUACCCGCGGCAAGACGGAAAGACCCCGUGAACCUUUACUAUAGCUUGACACUGAACAUUGAGCCUUGAUGUGUAGGAUAGGUGGGAGGCUUUGAAGCGUGGACGCCAGUCUGCGUGGAGCCAACCUUGAAAUACCACCCUUUAAUGUUUGAUGUUCUAACGUUGGCCCCUUACCGGGGUUGCGGACAGUGUCUGGUGGGUAGUUUGACUGGGGCGGUCUCCUCCCAAAGCGUAACGGAGGAGCACGAAGGUUAGCUAAUCCUGGUCGGACAUCAGGAGGUUAGUGCAAUGGCAUAAGCUAGCUUGACUGCGAGCGUGACGGCGCGAGCAGGUGCGAAAGCAGGUCAUAGUGAUCCGGUGGUUCUGAAUGGAAGGGCCAUCGCUCAACGGAUAAAAGGUACUCCGGGGAUAACAGGCUGAUACCGCCCAAGAGUUCAUAUCGACGGCGGUGUUUGGCACCUCGAUGUCGGCUCAUCACAUCCUGGGGCUGAAGUAGGUCCCAAGGGUAUGGCUGUUCGCCAUUUAAAGUGGUACGCGAGCUGGGUUUAGAACGUCGUGAGACAGUUCGGUCCCUAUCUGCCGUGGGCGCUGGAGAAUUGAGGGGGGCUGCUCCUAGUACGAGAGGACCGGAGUGGACGCAUCACUGGUGUUCGGGUUGUCAUGCCAAUGGCACUGCCCGGUAGCUAAAUGCGGAAGAGAUAAGUGCUGAAAGCAUCUAAGCACGAAACUUGCCCCGAGAUGAGUUCUCCCUGAGACUUUAAGUCUCCUGAAGGAACGUUAAAGACGAUGACGUUGAUAGGCCGGGUGUGUAAGCGCAGCGAUGCGUUGAGCUAACCGGUACUAAUGAACCGUGAGGCUUAACCUUACAACGCCGAAG
rnacentral:rRNA from 1 species